GGGUUGUGAGGUUAAGCGACUAAGCGUACACGGUGGAUGCCCUGGCAGUCAGAGGCGAUGAAGGACGUGCUAAUCUGCGAAAAGCGCCGGCGAGGUGAUAUGAACCUUUGACCCGGCGAUGUCCGAAUGGGGAAACCCAGUGUGAUUCGUCACACUAUCGUUAACUGAAUACAUAGGUUAACGAGGCGAACCGGGGGAACUGAAACAUCUAAGUACCCCGAGGAAAAGAAAUCAACCGAGAUUCCCCCAGUAGCGGCGAGCGAACGGGGAGCAGCCCAGAGUCUGAAUCAGCUUGUGUGUUAGUGGAAGCGUCUGGAAAGUCGCACGGUACAGGGUGACAGUCCCGUACACGAAAAUGCACAGGUUGUGAACUCGAAGAGUAGGGCGGGACACGUGGUAUCCUGUCUGAAUAUGGGGGGACCAUCCUCCAAGGCUAAAUACUCCUGACUGACCGAUAGUGAACCAGUACCGUGAGGGAAAGGCGAAAAGAACCCCGGCGAGGGGAGUGAAAAAGAACCUGAAACCGUGUACGUACAAGCAGUGGGAGCACCUUCGUGGUGUGACUGCGUACCUUUUGUAUAAUGGGUCAGCGACUUAUAUUCUGUAGCAAGGUUAACCGUAUAGGGGAGCCGAAGGGAAACCGAGUCUUAACUGGGCGUUAAGUUGCAGGGUAUAGACCCGAAACCCGGUGAUCUAGCCAUGGGCAGGUUGAAGGUUGGGUAACACUAACUGGAGGACCGAACCGACUAAUGUUGAAAAAUUAGCGGAUGACUUGUGGCUGGGGGUGAAAGGCCAAUCAAACCGGGAGAUAGCUGGUUCUCCCCGAAAGCUAUUUAGGUAGCGCCUCGUGAACUCAUCUUCGGGGGUAGAGCACUGUUUCGGCUAGGGGGCCAUCCCGGCUUACCAACCCGAUGCAAACUACGAAUACCGAAGAAUGUUAUCACGGGAGACACACGGCGGGUGCUAACGUCCGUCGUGAAGAGGGAAACAACCCAGACCGCCAGCUAAGGUCCCAAAGUCAUGGUUAAGUGGGAAACGAUGUGGGAAGGCACAGACAGCCAGGAUGUUGGCUUAGAAGCAGCCAUCAUUUAAAGAAAGCGUAAUAGCUCACUGGUCGAGUCGGCCUGCGCGGAAGAUGUAACGGGGCUAAACCAUGCACCGAAGCUGCGGCAGCGACGCUUAUGCGUUGUUGGGUAGGGGAGCGUUCUGUAAGCCGUUGAAGGUGGCCUGUGAGGGUUGCUGGAGGUAUCAGAAGUGCGAAUGCUGACAUAAGUAACGAUAAAGCGGGUGAAAAGCCCGCUCGCCGGAAGACCAAGGGUUCCUGUCCAACGUUAAUCGGGGCAGGGUGAGUCGACCCCUAAGGCGAGGCCGAAAGGCGUAGUCGAUGGGAAACAGGUUAAUAUUCCUGUACUUGGUGUUACUGCGAAGGGGGGACGGAGAAGGCUAUGUUAGCCGGGCGACGGUUGUCCCGGUUUAAGCAUGUAGGCGGAACGAUUAGGUAAAUCCGGUCGUUUAUUAACGCUGAGGUGUGAUGACGAGGCACUACGGUGCUGAAGUAACAAAUGCCCUGCUUCCAGGAAAAGCCUCUAAGCAUCAGGUAACAUCAAAUCGUACCCCAAACCGACACAGGUGGUCAGGUAGAGAAUACCAAGGCGCUUGAGAGAACUCGGGUGAAGGAACUAGGCAAAAUGGUGCCGUAACUUCGGGAGAAGGCACGCUGAUAUGUAGGUGAAGCCCCUGCGGGUGGAGCUGAAAUCAGUCGAAGAUACCAGCUGGCUGCAACUGUUUAUUAAAAACACAGCACUGUGCAAACACGAAAGUGGACGUAUACGGUGUGACGCCUGCCCGGUGCCGGAAGGUUAAUUGAUGGGGUUAGCGGUAACGCGAAGCUCUUGAUCGAAGCCCCGGUAAACGGCGGCCGUAACUAUAACGGUCCUAAGGUAGCGAAAUUCCUUGUCGGGUAAGUUCCGACCUGCACGAAUGGCGUAAUGAUGGCCAGGCUGUCUCCACCCGAGACUCAGUGAAAUUGAACUCGCUGUGAAGAUGCAGUGUACCCGCGGCAAGACGGAAAGACCCCGUGAACCUUUACUAUAGCUUGACACUGAACACUGGUCCUUGAUGUGUAGGAUAGGUGGGAGGCUUUGAAGUGUAGACGCCAGUCUGCAUGGAGCCGUCCUUGACAUACCACCCUUUAAUGGCUGGUGUUCUAACGUAGACCCGUAAUCCGGGUUGCGGACAGUGUCUGGUGGGUAGUUUGACUGGGGCGGUCUCCUCCCAAAGAGUAACGGAGGAGCACGAAGGUUAGCUAAUCCUGGUCGGACAUCAGGAGGUUAGUGCAAUGGCAUAAGCUAGCUUGACUGCGAGAGUGACGGCUCGAGCAGGUGCGAAAGCAGGUCAUAGUGAUCCGGUGGUUCUGAAUGGAAGGGCCAUCGCUCAACGGAUAAAAGGUACUCCGGGGAUAACAGGCUGAUACCGCCCAAGAGUUCAUAUCGACGGCGGUGUUUGGCACCUCGAUGUCGGCUCAUCACAUCCUGGGGCUGAAGUAGGUCCCAAGGGUAUGGCUGUUCGCCAUUUAAAGUGGUACGCGAGCUGGGUUUAGAACGUCGUGAGACAGUUCGGUCCCUAUCUGCCGUGGGCGCUGGAGAAUUGAGGGGGGCUGCUCCUAGUACGAGAGGACCGGAGUGGACGCAUCACUGGUGUUCGGGUUGUCAUGCCAAUGGCACUGCCCGGUAGCUAAAUGCGGAAAAGAUAAGUGCUGAAAGCAUCUAAGCACGAAACUUGCCCCGAGAUGAGUUCUCCCUGAGACUUUAAGUCUCCUGAAGGAACGUUGAAGACGACGACGUUGAUAGGUCGGGUGUGUAAGCGCAGCGAUGCGUUGAGCUAACCGAUACUAAUGAACCGUGAGGCUUAACCUUACAACGCCGAAG
rnacentral:rRNA from 1 species